AUGGCGUCGGCGUCGGCCUCCACCGACGUCGCGUCCUCGCGCGAGGCGAGUCGCCAGGCCGGGAAGAAAGCGCUGGAGGAGUUCCGUAAGAAGAAGAAGAAGGCCGCGAAGAAGGCCACCGCCGCUGUAGUAGACCAGGCAGCCCCUGUGGUUCCCAGCGUAGUGGAGAACCCCCUGCCAAACUCCAAUAAUGGCAACCCUGGACAGGGUUUGGUGUCUGAUUUGGACUCAAGCACACCAAGCACAUCAUCUGCGCCAUCUGCUUCCUGUGAGAAUGGCCCAACCACUUCUUCCAGAGUCACCGAAUUUCUGUCGAAUGGUCCUGUCGUUGCAGAUGCAUCAGCUAAUGUUACUACUGUUGCCCCCCUACAAGAUGCUGUUGAUGACGGAGGGAGCAAGUUUUAUGGAAACUUGAGCUUCUCCGAUCUUGUUAAUGGGCAUCACGAUGAUUGGAGAGGCGAUACUGCUCGUAAAAGGGUAGAGCUCAGUCCUGACAAGGAUGCCCCUUUAACAUCUAAAUUAAGUGCAUUUGGAAACACUGACAGUGGUUCCCAGUCUACCGAGGUCUUGUCAAAAUGGGGAGGAAAUUCUUCGCUGAGUCAAGUACAUGGUAUCGAGCAAUCCAGUUCAUUUUCAUCCGGCAACCUUCUUGGGAAGUCUGAAAGCACUUUCUCUCAGGAUUACUCCCCAGAAAAUGAUAUCUUUGGCCGCUUACGAGCUACCUCCAAAGACUCUUCCCAAGCAGGGCACUCUGCAUAUACCAGCAACCGGGACUAUGGCAGUAUAUUUAGUAGUUCUAAAGUCGCUGAUGGUUUAGAUCAUGAUGCAAAUAUUGGAAUGCUUCGGAAUGCAUCAGAUUCAACAUCUACCAAUUUUGAUAAACAGGAUCCUUUUCUGUCAACUGCUUAUCCAACUGCAUACAAUCGAUCUCGGCCAUCUUUUCUUGAUUCUAUUGGGGUACAAAGAGCUCUUCCAGCAGAAGCCCCAUACGUUGAACCUUCAAAAGCAAGCAAUAAGCUAUUCAGCAGUUCAAAUUCUGAGAGUUCUUCUGUUCAGCAGCCAAACCAACAAUCCACGCAAAACAAUGUUGUGGAUAAUUCUGUUAUAACAGGGGGACAAGAGUAUAAUAGUGAAAAGGGGCCAUAUGACAAUUCCAUACUUCCUGAUUCCUUGCCUUCCAAAGAUGAAAAAAGUCUGCAUUAUGGUAAUCAAAUGUUCCAAGAUUUCACAAGUCAUGAGAAAGAUGACGGUUUUGCAUCACUAGAGCAGCUCAUUGAGGAUUUGACAACAGAGAAGUUUUCGUUACAAAGGACUUUAGAGAAAUCUCAAGAACUAGCACAAAAUUUGGCAACGGAUAACUCAGCAUUGACAGAUAAGUUCAACCAACAGGCACACGUUAUCAGCCAGUUGACCUCUGACAUGGAGAGGUUGCAGGAUGAAAUUCAAGCUCAACUGCUGGCACUUGAGACCAUCAGAUCGGAAUAUGCCAAUGCCCAACUAGAAUGCAAUGCUGCAGAUGAGAGGGGCAAAGUACUCGCUGCAGAAGUCAUUCUAUUGGAAGAUAAGGCUCUUAAACUUAGGUCAAAUGAGUUGAAACUUGAAAAGGAAGUGGAGGGUUUAAAUUCAGAGAUCUCUUCCUACAAACGCAAAGUUUCUAGUCUUGAGAAGGAACGUCAGCAUCUUCAAUCUACUGUUGAAGCUCUUCAAGAAGAAAAGAAGCUCCUGCACUCUAAAUUGAGAAACAUUCCUGUGAGUGAGAAGGUAAAUGUCAUAGAAAAACCAUCAGUCCACAAAAGAGAUGCAUCAACUGCGACGGAGGAUUUAGAUACAGGGGAAAGCAGCUCUUCACAAACACUGACCAGUACCAGUGACCCAUUACAAGACGUUGGAACAUCUGUUUCACAGUUUAAUAAUAUGUCUGAUUUUCCUUCCUUCGGAGACGCAUCUUCUAGCAUUCCAGAAGAUCAGCUCAGAAUGAUUGACAACAUCAACUCCUUGAUGUCGGAGUUAGCAGUGGAGAGAGAAGAGCUAAUGCGAGCACUGAGAAUCGAGUCAUCCAACUGCUCCAAGCUGAAGGAGCUGAACAGGGAUCUAACACAAAAGCUGGAGACUCAGACACACAGACUUGAGCUAUUGACUUCUGAAAGGAUGGCCAACGAGAAUGUCCUUGCACGGCCGGUCGACACACACUUCAAUGAUGCAACAAUGUAUGCUGAUGAAGGGGACGAGGUUGUUGAAAGGGUGCUUGGCUGGAUAAUGAAGCUCUUCCCUGGAGGGCCAAAGCGUCGCACCAGCAAACUCCACUAG
rnacentral:rRNA from 1 species